rnacentral:lncRNA from 1 species
GCAGAGCCUUGCUGUUUCUGCUGGAUCGAGCCAUCACUACUGAUUCUUAUUUGGUGUUUACUAUUGAACUGGACUGCUGGUAUCCUGACAAUGAAAAAUGGAAUCGCCCCAAGAAAUUAUUUCUAAACAGGUAUUUGCCAAGUUUGGACUUUAUUCUUUAGUGAUAAGGAGCAGUUCUGAUUCCAUGUGAGGAAACUAGAAGAUUCACAGGAACAGCUAGUGAUGCCAUAAUGAAGAUGAAUUGUUCUGGCUCAGUUGUUUCUCACGAUUAACUCGUGGAGUUUUGUGGUUGUGGAGGGGAUCCAGCAAGGAGCCAGUCUGAUGGCUCAAAACGGAGAGGUGCAUCCAUGCCGAGCAUGGUGCUGCCCACAUGCCCAUCCCAGCAAUGAGGGCCGGAGCAAGAACAUGGCGAGUUUGAGGCCAGCCUGGACCUCCUAUCCCAGAAAAGCUGGAAACAGCGGGUUAGGGGGACCCAAACCACAGAUGGUCUGAAAAACAAGAUGGAAGCAGAUUGCCUCCCUUUAAAAUGGUCGCUAUGGGAACCCCAAA